rnacentral:rRNA from 1 species
CCUACGGGAGGCAGCAGUGAGGAAUAUUGGUCAAUGGGCGAGAGCCUGAACCAGCCAAGUCGCGUGAGGGCGUACUGCCCUAUGGGUUGUAAACCUCUUUUGUCGGGGAGCAAAAGCCGGACGUGUCCGGCUGUGAGAGUACCCGAAGAAAAAGCAUCGGCUAACUACGUGCCAGCAGCCGCGGUAAUACGUAGGUGGAGAGCGUUAUCCGGAAGGAUUGGGCGUAAAGGGUGCGUAGGCGGCCUGCUAAGUCUGGAGUGAAAGGUACCGGCUCAACCGGUAUAGGCUCUGGAAACUGGCGUGCUAGAGAGCAGGAGAGGGCGGUGGAACUCCAUGUGUAGCGGUAAAAGGCGUAGAUAUAUGGAAGAACACCAGUGGCGAAGGCGGCCGCCUGGCCUGUUACUGACGCUGAGGCACGAAAGCGUGGGGAGCAAAUAGGAUUAGAUACCCUUGUAGUC